UACAGAGGGGGCAAGCGUUGUUCGGAAUUACUGGGCGUAAAGGGCGCGUAGGCGGCCCGCUAAGUCGAACGUGAAAUCCCCGAGCUCAACUCGGGAACUGCGUCCGAUACUGGCGGGCUUGAAUCCGGGAGAGGGAUGCGGAAUUCCCAGUGUAGAGGUGAAAUUCGUAGAUAUUGGGAAGAACACCGGUGGCGAAGGCGGCCAUCUGGACCGGCACUGACGCUGAGGCGCGAAAGCGUGGGGAGCGAACAGG
rnacentral:rRNA from 1 species